GGCUGUCAAUGCUUAACUCUCUGCCCGUAAACCUGUAGGGCACUGGGGUGAAGCCACAUUUACUGAUAUGAAGUAUGUUACCAGAAGACCAGACGCUGUUAAUGGGCCCACACGGCCACGAACACACCAGCCGGUGGGGAAUUUUAUAGCAUCCAUCAUGGGAUACCGGGGUCCUUAUUAAAGAAGAAAGCUUUUAUGGCAUUUUCCAGAGCACCAUAUUUUCCUGACCCAGCCUGCAAGGAAAGUGCUAAGAGCCCCAAACUAUCUUUUCAACCAUUAACUGCCAUUUCUGGACUGGGGACCGGC
rnacentral:lncRNA from 1 species